AUACGGAGGGGACUAGCGUUGUUCGGAAUUACUGGGCGUAAAGCGUACGUGGGCGGAUCGGAAAGUAUAGGGUGAAAUCCCAGGGCUCAACCCUGGAACUGCCUUAUAAACUCCCGGUCUUGAGUUCGAGAGAGGUGAGUGGAAUUCCGAGUGUAGAGGUGAAAUUCGUAGAUAUUCGGAGGAACACCAGUGGCGAAGGCGGCUCACUGGCUCGAUACUGACGCUGAGGUACGAAAGUGUGGGGAGCAAACAGGAUUAGAAACCCCUGUAGUCC
rnacentral:rRNA from 1 species